CAGCAGGCUGCGGGAGAGAGCAGGGGGGGAGGAAAAAAACUCAAUACCUGCGAGUAUGUGGUGAAGACGAUGCGAGUGGCGCGGAGAGCCGGUGGAAGUUGUCGCUGUGGCGAGCUCCAUGCAGAACCAGAGCGGAGCGGCUAGCGGAAGCGGCUACGGCUCCAAUGGCGCCUGCGUGUGUAACUGCACCGGAGCCCAAGUUCAGGGAAUGGACAUAUGUGAGUGUAAAACCGCUUCGCUUCCAUAUUAACAUCUUUAACGGCUGGCUUUGAACUUCUCAGUAGAGUUUUUUUUUUUUUUUUUUUUUUUUUUUAAAUGUAAGUGCGCAGUUUAAAGGGAACUUGGCCGUUAAAUUUCACCUAACGACACGCUGAAGGGUAGAACCAUCUAAACCUGUUAUUUUAAUGCAUAUCCUGUGUAGUGAACUCGUGGAGGAAGGAGACAGCCAAAGGGAUUGAGUCGCGGUCUGGUGUUUGGACAGUGAUUAACGUUUUCUGUGUCUGUCUCCGCCAAGCCACUAACCCAUCCUAUCUACCUCGAGAGCGGAUAACUACUACUAACACUUGGUGCAUAUGACAGCGUGUUAGUGUAAUGUUUUAGCACAGAGUUCGGCGUGUUACUAUAAUGUUUUAGCAUAGUGUUAAUGUAAUGUUUCAGCACAGGGUUACUGUAUUGCUUCAGCACAGAGUUCAGCGUGUUACUGUAAUGUUUUAGCACAGUGUUACUAGUGUUAGUGUAAUGUUUUAGCACAGCGUCAGUGUAAUGUUUUAGCACAGUGUUAUUGUAAUGUUUUAACACAGAUUUCGGCGUGUUACUGUAAUGGUUUUAGCACAGCGUUAGUGUAAUGUUUUAGCACAGUGUUACUGUAAUGUUUUAGCACAGCGUUAGUGUAAUGUUUUAGCACAGUGUUAGUGUAAUGUUUCAGCACAGUGUUAUUGUAAUGUUUUAGCACAGUGUUACUGUAGUGCUUCAGCACAGCGUUCAGAGUGUUACUGUAAUGUUUUAGCACAGCGUUCAGAGUGUUACUGUAAUGUUUUAGCACAGCGUUCAGAGUGUUACUGUAAUGUUUUAGCACAGUGUUAUUGUAAUGUUUUAGCACAGUGUUACUGUAAUGUUUUGCACAGUGUUACUGUAAUGUUUUAGCACAGUGUUAUUGUAAUGUUUUAGCACAGUGUUAUUGUAAUGUUUUAGCACAGCGUUAGUGUAAUGUUUUAGCACAGUGUUACUAGUGUUAGUGUAAUGUUUUAGCACAGUGUUACUGUAAUGUUUAGCACAGUGUUAUUGUAAUGUUUUAGCACAGCGUUCGUGUAAUGUUUUAGCACAGCGUUAGUGUAAUGUUUUAGCAUUGCGUUAGUGUAAUGUUUUAGCACAGCAUUCAGAGUGUUACUGUAAUGUUUUAGCACAG
ensembl:lncRNA